UACGUAGGGUGCAGGCGUUGUCCGGAUUUAUUGGGCGUAAAGAGCUCGUAGGCGGCUUGUCGCGUCGUUCGUGAAAACCCGGGGCUCAACUCCGGGCUUGCGGGCGAUACGGGCAGGCUAGAGUUCGGUAGGGGAGACUGGAAUUCCUGGUGUAGCGGUGAAAUGCGCAGAUAUCAGGAGGAACACCGGUGGCGAAGGCGGGUCUCUGGGCCGAUACUGACGCUGAGGAGCGAAAGCGUGGGGAGCGAACAGG
rnacentral:rRNA from 1 species